CCAGCCCCAAUCUCUUCCCAAAAAAGACCCGGAAUAGCGUGACAAUUCCCAGAAAAAUGACGCCUCAAAGUAGAGACCAGUAAUCUGCUUCUUUGUCCCUUUCUUCAACGUUCCUCUCCUCUUUUCGUACCAGCAACUGCAAAUCCGUCCUUGUGGCCUUGAGAUGGGGCCACAUCGUUCGCCAAGGACGCUCGAGUCAAUCUGAGCCUUUGGUUUCCCUUUCCACUUUCGGAAUGAAGCUGAAUCGUCAAGAAAAGGUGUCUCCCUCAAUUCGUGAAAGAGAUUUGGAUUUUGAAAUUCGAAUUUAGACCCAUCCUCACCCAAUUCCCCCCAAAAUCAAACCCUAAUAACCCCUAUAUAUAUUCUCUUUCGCUUCAUUGUGGGGGGGGGGGAGGAUUUUUGUCGGUGGGAGAAAACUUUGUUUGGAGAGAAUAGUUGGAAUUUGAGAAUAAAAUACAGUAAACUAUUAUCUAUAAAUAUUUGAGGAUAAGUUCUCAGAAGUAGAAAAAGGUGAGAGUUUAGGCCUUGUUUGAGUCCCUUGCUUGUUUCUUCGUUCACCGGAGUUCUAUUAGAGUCGUCGGAAGUCGGCGCUCUCCAAGCUCGUUAGCUGUCCUUGUUUUGCUGCACUUCGAAAGAUGCUUGGGAAGCUGAAUUAGGGCGUAUAUACUGAGUAUACAAUGCAAUAUACAACAAAACAAUCAAAAUACAUUCUGUAUACGGCGGUAUACAACCAGUGUAUACACUGAAUUUUGAAGAGGAAAAUAGACCUAAGGGCCCAAAAAUAGAUGCAGCAGAAUUUGGGCAGAGGCCCAAAUUUGAUAUCUCUAUCCUUAUUCUUUACUUAUUAUUAUAGCCACUAACAUAUUAUUUGAUUUUUGGUUCUAAUUUAAUUAAUCCCGAAUAAUAGUCGUUGAAAAAAAUGUCCAUUUUUUCUGUUUUUUGA